rnacentral:rRNA from 1 species
GUGAGGAAUAUUGGUCAAUGGGCGGGAGCCUGAACCAGCCAAGUCGCGUGAAGGAAGAAGGAUCUAUGGUUCGUAAACUUCUUUUGCAGGGGAAUAAAGUGCAGGACGUGUCCUGUUUUGUAUGUACCCUGAGAAUAAGGAUCGGCUAACUCCGUGCCAGCAGCCGCGGUAAUACGGAGGAUCCGAGCGUUAUCCGGAUUUAUUGGGUUUAAAGGGUGCGUAGGUGGUUUGAUAAGUCAGCGGUGAAAGUUUGCAGCUUAACUGUAAAAAUGCCGUUGAAACUGUCGGACUUGAGUGUAAAUGAGGUAGGCGGAAUUCGUGGUGUAGCGGUGAAAUGCAUAGAUAUCACGCAGAACUCCGAUUGCGAAGGCAGCUUACUAAGCUACAACUGACACUGAAGCACGAAAGCGUGGGGAUCAAACAGGAUUAGAAACCCUUGUAGUCC